rnacentral:rRNA from 1 species
CCUACGGGCGGCAGCAGUCGAGAAUCAUUCACAAUGGGGGAAACCCUGAUGGUGCGACGCCGCGUGGGGGAAUGAAGGUCUUCGGAUUGUAAACCCCUGUCAUGUGGGAGCAAAUUAAAAAGAUAGUACCACAAGAGGAAGAGACGGCUAACUCUGUUCCAGCAGCCGCGGGAAUACAGAGGUCUCAAGCGUUGUUCGGCAUCACUGGGCGUAAAGCGUGCGUAGGCUGUUUCGUAAGUCGUGUGUGAAAGGCGCGGGCUCAACCCGCGGACGGCACAUGAUACUGCGAGACUAGAGUAAUGGAGGGGGAACCGGAAUUCUCGGUGUAGCAGUGAAAUGCGUAGAUAUCGAGAGGAACACUCGUGGCGAAGGCGGGUUCCUGGACAUUAACUGACGCUGAGGCACGAAGGCCAGGGGAGCGAAAGGGAUUAGAUACCCCUGUAGUC